rnacentral:tRNA from 1 species
GCCGGGAUGCUGGAAUUUGGUAGACAGGCUAGAUUCAGGUUCUAGUGUGCUUUUUUGCGCGUAAGGGUUCGAGUCCCUUUCCCGGCA